ACUUGUUGCAUAAGCAUACUAUUUUGAUAAAGAAGUGGCCGUGAUCAUAGUUAUCAUUUUAUCAUUGCAAGUACAUAUUUUGUAACUUUCCAAUUAUACGUAAUUCUACUCGGUAAAAUUGGUAAUGUAAGCCAUUAUACGUUAGUGUAUGCCAUCUGAUGUUUACUAAAAUUUCUUUGUCUACAACUGCUAAAGUGUUACUUUCUCUACCCACAUUAAGAAAUAUACGAAGUUAUUCUGUUAUGAUGAGUAAAUUUGAUCUCCCUGAUCGCUUUAAAGGCAAUGAUAAGUCAGUAUGGGUGGAAUAUCUUCAGUUGGCUUCAAAAUAUAAGCCCAUAAAUUUAGGACAAGGAUUUCCAGAUUUUUAUGCUCCAGAAAAUUUAACUAAAGCUUUGGCUGCUGUGACUACAAGUGACAAUCCUCUAUUAAAUCAAUAUACCAGAGGAUUUGGUCACCCACGUUUAGUAAAUGCUAUUGCAAAAUUGUAUUCGAAGCUCUUAAACCGUACUUUAGAUCCAAAUAAGGAAGUUCUUGUAACUUCUGGUGCUUAUGAAGCAUUAUAUGCUACGUUACAAGGUCACACAAACUCUGGUGAUGAGUGGAUAAUUAUUGAACCUUUCUUUGAUUGUUAUGUACCUAUGGUUAGAUCUGCUGGAGGAAUUCCAAAGUUUAUUGCCUUAAAACCAAAAAGCACAAAGGGAUCUCUUUCUUCUGCAGAUUGGAUAUUUGACAGACAAGAAUUAGAGAAUCUUUUUAAUGAAAAAACAAAAGGAAUAAUCAUUAACACUCCACAUAAUCCUGUGGGAAAGAUUUUCACUCUAGAUGAAUUACAGUUUAUCGCUAAUUUGGCUAAAAAGUGGAACACCCUUGUUGUGUCAGAUGAAGUGUACGAAUGGCUUGUUUAUGAGCCAUAUAAACAUGUUAGAAUUGCAACAUUACCUGAUAUGUACGAACGUACGAUUACCAUUGGAUCUGCUGGUAAAACAUUCAGUGUUACUGGGUGGAAAAUAGGAUGGGCAUAUGGUCCGGAAAAUUUACUAUAUAACUUACAAAUUGUUCAUCAAAAUAAUGUAUAUACGUGUAACACACCAACUCAAGAGGCUGUGGCUAUUGGAUUCGAACAAGAAUUAGAAAGAUUUGGUCAACCUGACUGUUAUUUUGUGAGUUUAGCUAAGGAGUUGCUACCAAAACGAAAUUAUAUGGCUAAAUUUCUUAGCGAUGUAGGAAUGAUUCCAACAAUUCCCGAAGGAGGAUACUUUAUGGUAGCUAAUUGGUCAGCUUUAAAAGAUAAAGUACGAUUAGAAGAAGAAACAGAUGAGAAUAAAGAUUAUCGUUUCACAAAAUGGAUGACGAAAAAUGUUGGAAUUCAAGGAAUUCCCCCAUCUGUAUUUUAUAGUCCUGAACAUAAACACUUAGGGGAAGAUAACGUAAGAUAUUGCUUUAUAAAGAAAGAUGAAAAUUUGAAAAAAGCAGCCGAUGUUUUAAUGAAAUGGAAAGAUCAGCAAUAGUAACAACUAUAUUUAUCUAUAGUUAAUAAUUUUGAGAUAAAAAAUCCAUAGAAAAUUGUCCAAUUACUUAAAUAUCAGGCAUUAUCUUUAAAAGUUAUUUUAAAUUAUAUUCAAUUUUACUAGAAUAUGCAGUGGAGAAAUCACCACGGAGCCAUCUUUUCGCAUCUUUAGUGUCAGCUCCGAAAGUUUUGCCGAAUCUAAAUGGAAUAUUUAAUAUUUAAAUAAAAUUUUUUAGGAACGUGUCCAAGAUAAUUUGGAAGCAUACCAACAUGUUUGUGGUAAAUAAUAGUGGGUUGAAUUAAUAGAGGUGGAUCAGGUCGUGAAAUUGUUACUGGUGCCCAUUCUGUACUUUGUCGUUUUCUAUAAUCAGACGUAAAAUCGCAAAGGGCGCUGUUAGUAGCCGGAACAUUUGUUUUUCCAAAAUGCGCAUAUCCGUAUGGUAUGUGACCCCCGUAUCCUACAAAAAUACAAUUAAAUGUUUGAAAUUUUAUAUUAUAAGGAAAACUAAUUAAUAUUUAUCUUUCUAACUUUAACACUCACUUCUUGCAUUUUCUCGAAUGAAAGAAUAUCGCAUUCGUUUUUCACUAUCCGUAAGAUCCAUCUGUACUUUAUUGUUAAUAUUAUUUUACAAACGAUAUCGCGUAUUUGUUAUAUAUCUGUUUGUUAAUUCAUUUUAUUAACAGGUCAAAUUUAUGGACGUCAUUAAAGGUUAAAGAUUUUGUGAAACAGUUGAAUCAUACGGAACGAUGCUUAUGUAAGUUUUAUACUACAUAUAGAAUCAUUCGAAGACAAGUUCAAGCUAAUAAUAACGUGACAAGAUGGACUCACGACUGAUAAAGUAUUUUUGCGGAUUUGCAUUGUCCAUAAAGUAAGGGGAUGGAGAAUGAUCGCUGGGUGUUUCGUGUUGUUCGUCCAAAAAUAAAUUCCUCGUUACACCCACGCAAUCAGGUCGAACUGUUAGCAUAGGCAGUUUAAACUCACUUUUUAUGAGCUAUAUAAGAAAUUUAGAUAUGAUUUCAUUAUUCCUUCCCUUAUUCCCUUAUUUCCUUAUUUCCUUAUCUUAACUAAAAAAGAGAUCGUAUAGGUACUUUACCAAACGAUCUUCUAAAUUUCUUGGUUCUCCCUGUCCAGCUUGUAUAUCUAUAAUUCGUUUAAGUUCAUUAAGAGCCGCUCUAUUUCUUAAUUGUUGUCGUUCAAAUUCGGCAAGUCCUUCUGUAGCCAACACCGUGUAUCUUUGUCCAUUUCUGGCUUUUAGUUUUGGAGUAAAUCCUAAAAUAAAACAUUUACGUUGCCAUUAAACUGGUACAUUUACCCUUCUCAUUAAUGUUUAUUUUCAUUUCAUAUAUGUACCUUCGUAACUUGGUGUUAUAGGAUGAAUAAAUAUAGGGUCGGUCCUUUUGUAUCUAGCAUUUACUACGUCUAUGUCAUUUUUCGGUGGCCUCUGGACCUAUAGUUGAUUAUAAAUAAUUAUAAAUAAUAUUAUUAUUUUAAUAAAUUAUAUUAUAUAUAUUAUUUUAAUUAAUUUAAACUUAUAAACAGCAUUGAUUAAAGUAAUAGGAACAAGGACUAUAAAAUAUUGUAUAAUACCUCGUAAUCGUCGGGGAUACGGUUCGAUAAAAUGAGGGUCUCCGCAUGAUUCACUGUAGGAUCAAGAAGCACUUUGUGCGUAAGACUUCCAUACGUUUCACCACAUCUGUAGCGAUAUUGAGGACAGUAUCCGGCAUAUCUAAAACGGACCUUUAUGAAUGUAGAAGAGGUAUCAAUGAAUAUAAAAGUUAAAGGGUAAUAAUAUUUUAAAUAUUUCUUACUGUACUGUAUUAUUUAGGAAACGUAUAUGUUACACUUUCGAACAUAAUGUAUUUACAUUUUAUAUUUAAUACAUAAACGCUGUACUAUUUACCCUGGAAUAAGAUGUGGUUCCGCUGUGGAUAAUAAUUCUGUUCCAGCAGACAUUUUUCUGUUAUAUAUUUCCUAAUGAUACGUUAAUUUAAUUAAAUACAUUAUCCAGACUAA